rnacentral:rRNA from 1 species
UUUAAUUAAAGACUGGAAUGAAAGGUUUUACAUUUAAAUUAUUAUUUCAAAUGUUUAUAAUUUAAUUUAUUUUUAAUGUAAAAAAACAUUAAUAAUUUAGAAAGACGACAAGACCCUAUCGAACUUUCACUAAAGUUUAACUGGGGCAGUUAUUUAAAUACUAUUUUAAAAAAAAAAUUUUAAAAAAAUGACCCGAUAUAAUCGAUUAUAUGAUCAAGUUACCGUAGGGAUAACAGCGUAAUUAUUUCCUAUAGAUCUUAUAUAAAAAAUAGAUUGCGACCUCGAUGUUGAAUUAAUAUUUCUAUUAAAUGCAAUAAUUUAAUAAGUAAGUCUGUUCGACUUUUAAUUUAUUACAUGAUUUGAGUUCAGACCGGUGUAAACCAGGUCGGAUUCUAUCUUCUAAUUAUUUCUCCUAGUACGAAAGGACCUGAGAAAUUUUUAAAUGAUUUGGCAGAUAAUUGCAUUAGAAUUAGAAUCUAAUUACCUAUUAAUUUUAUUCUCAAUAAAUUUCAUCAUCUCUAUAAUUAGA